UUAUAAGAGACAGCAGCCGCCGCGGUAAUACAGAGGGUGCGAGCGUUAAUCGGAUUUACUGGGCGUAAAGCGUGCGUAGGCGGCUUUUUAAGUCGGAUGUGAAAUCCCUGAGCUUAACUUAGGAAUUGCAUUCGAUACUGGGAAGCUAGAGUAUGGGAGAGGAUGGUAGAAUUCCAGGUGUAGCGGUGAAAUGCGUAGAGAUCUGGAGGAAUACCGAUGGCGAAGGCAGCCAUCUGGCCUAAUACUGACGCUGAGGUACGAAAGCAUGGGGAGCAAACAGGAUUAGAGACCCCCGUAGUCCCUGUCUCUUAUAC
rnacentral:rRNA from 1 species